rnacentral:rRNA from 1 species
GGUGGCAGAGGGGAUUUUCACGGUUUACGGGUUAAAUGGCUAACAAACUUGCCGGAACACCUUUGUGGAAAGGCCCUCGGGUGGCCGAUUUCUAACGCUAGGGGCGCAUGAGCCUGGGGAGCCAACAGCAAUUAGAAACCCUUGUUUGUCCAACCCCGUAAAAGGCUGGGUGGUAAGGUGUUAAGGGGGCCCACCCUUUAUCGCCGAAGGUAACGCGAUUAAACCACCCCGCUUGGGGGAGACGGUUCGCCAAGACUGAAAAUCCAAGGAAUUGACCGGGGCCCCCCACAAGCCAGUGGAGCAAGUGGUUUAAUUGGGAGCCACGGCGAAGGACCUUACCAGGACUGGACAUCCCGUUGACCGCUCUAGAGAUCGAGUUUCCCUUCGGGCCAGCGGUGACAGUGGGUGCAUGGUGUUCGUCAGCUCGUGUCGUGAGAUGUUGGGUUAAGUCCCGCAACGAGCGCAACCCCUAUGUUGUGUUGCUACCAUUUAGUUGAGCACUUACAACAGACUGCCGGUGACAAACCGGAGGAAGGCGGGGAUGACGUCAAAUCAUCAUGCCCCUUAUGUCCUGGGCUACACACGUGCUACAAUGGACGGUACAAAGGGUUGCGAAGCCGCGAGGUGAAGCCAAUCCCAGAAAGCCGUUCGUAGUUCGGAUUGCAGGCUGCAACUCGCCUGCAUGAAGCCGGAAUUGCUAGUAAUCGCGGAUCAGCAUGCCGCGGUGAAUUCGUUCCCGGGCCUUGUACACACCGCCCGUCACACCAUGGGAGUUGGUAACACCCGAAGUCGGUGAGGUAACUGCUUGCAGAGCCAGCCGCCUAAGGUGGGAUCGAUAACUGGGGUGAAGUCGUAACAAGGUAAAUCGAAUUCCCGCGGCC